UACCUGGUUGAUCCUGCCAGUAGUCAUAUGCUUGUCUCAAAGAUUAAGCCAUGCAUGUCUAAGAAUAAGCCCUUUUUUGAACGGCAAAUCUGCGAAUGGCUCAUUAAAUCAGUUAUUGUUUCUUUGAUGGUACCAUUUCACACAUGGACUAGUUGGACAACCGUAGUAAUUCUAGAGCUAGUACAUGCGAAAACAAGCCCUGAAAUGUGUUUUCGGACAGAGGAAGGGGUGCAUUUAUUAGAUUCAAACCGUCGGGUAGCGAAAUGCUAGUGUUGGGUUUGAUAAAAGCCCAGCCGAUGGUGAGUCAAGAUAACUUUGCGAAUCGGGGCAAAGGAGGGUGUUUAUUUGAUUUAUUUUGAGUAGAUAUUCUCCCCCGAUGCUUCAAUCAAAUUUCUGCCCUAUCAGCUUUCGAUGGUAGGAUAUUUGCCUACCAUGGCGAUCACGGGUAACGGGGAAUUGGGGUUCGAUUCCGGAGAGGGAGCUUGAGAAACGGCUACCACAUCCAAGGAUGGCAGCAGGCGCGCAAAUUACCCAAUCCCGACACGGGGAGGUAGUGACAAUACAUAACAAUGCUCAUUUGCGGUUUACGCCGCAGGAGCAAUUGGAAUGAGAGAUGGACAAACGUGAACAUAGUUUAAAACCAUUCUCAAGGAGCCAUUGGAGGGCAAGUCAUGGUGCCAGCAGCCGCGGUAAUUCCAGCUCCAAUAGCAUAUAUUAACAUUGUUGCAGUUAAAAAGCUCGUAGUCUGAGUUGAUAAGGGGAGGGGCCUUUUCAUGAAUUUGAUUCAUUUUGAAUUCAUUAAAACUCCUUCUCGUUGAAAGCAAUUUCAACACAUUUCGUGGGGGUGUUUUUAAUUUUUAAAAACACAGCUCGCGAUGGUUUACUUUGAGAAAAAUAGAGCGUUCAAAGCAGGCAUUGACAAAUGAUUGCCUUUUAUGUGUGUGUUUGAUUUCAUUAAAUACACAUGAUUUGAAUGUAUUAGCAUGGGAUAAUGGAAUAGGACAUUGGCCUUGUGUUUUCAUCGCACGCCGACUUUUAUUUAAAAUCUUUGAUUAGAGGUUCGAGGGCCGAUGUAAUGGUCAACAGGAACAGUUGGGGAUAUUCAUACUCCAUGGCUAGAGGUGAAAUUCUUGGAUUCAUGGAAGAUGAACCAGUGCGAAAGCAUUUGUCAAAGAUGUUUUCAUUGAUCAAGAACGAAAGUUAGGGGAGCAAAGACGAUCAGAUACCGUCGUAGUCUUAACCAUAAACGAUGCCGACUCGGGAUUGGGGGGCGCUACGUUGAUGAAUGAUGUGGUCAAACAUGUCGUUCAUUGAUAUUCAGCCCCCCCAGCACCUCCGUUAUUUCAACACGCAAGGGAAACCGAUAAGUGUUUGGGUUCCGGGGGGAGUAUGGUCGCAAGGCUGAAACUUAAAGGAAUUGACGGAAGGACACCACCAGGAGUGGAGUUUGCGGCUUAAUUUGACUCAACACGGGGAAACUCACCAGGUCCAGACAUGGUAAGGAUUGACAGAUUGAGAGCUCUUUCUUGAUUCCGUGAAAGGUAGCGCAUGGCCGUUCUUAGUUGGUGGAGUGAUUUGUCUGGUUAAUUCCGUUAACGAACGAGACCUUGGCCUGCUAACUAGUUGGGGAAGGGGGGUGUUCAGCGUUGAUUUAGUUUCGAUUGAAUUGACGUUAAAUACCACAAAACUCCUUUCUUCUGUCAUUUGAUUUAUCAAAUAGCAAACAACUUCUUAGAGGGACAAUCUGUGUCUUAGCAGAGGGAAGCGAAAGGCGAUAACAGGUCUGUGAUGCUCUUAGAUGUCCUGGGCUGCACGCGUACUACACUGACGAACGCAACGAGCAUUGUUGGGGGGCGUUGAUUUUGAUUCAUCAAAUUGUUGACAACCCCCGUCCCUUGGCAGAAAUGUCUGGGCAAUCUUUUGAAAGUUCGUCGUGAUGGGGAUAGAUGAUUGUAAUUAUUUGUCUUGAACGAGGAAUUCCUAGUAAGUGUGAGUCAUCAGGUUGCGCUGAUUACGUCCCUGCCCUUUGUACACACCGCCCGUCGCUCCUACCGAUUGAAUGGUCCGGUGAGAACGUCGGAUGGGAGGGGAUUUUUAAAUUUGACUAUUGUUUCGGCAAUGGUUGAUGCCCAGCCCAGAAGUAGUUCAAAUCUUACUAUUUAGAGGAAGGAGAAGUCGUAACAAGGUUUCC
rnacentral:rRNA from 1 species